rnacentral:rRNA from 1 species
CUCCAGACUCCUACGGGAGGCAGCAGUGAGGAAUAUUGGUCAAUGGGCGCGAGCCUGAACCAGCCAAGUCGCGUGAGGGAAGACGGUCCUAUGGAUUGUAAACCUCUUUUGUCGGGGAGCAAAGCGAACCACGUGUGGUUCAUUGAGAGUACCCGAAGAAAAAGCAUCGGCUAACUCCGUGCCAGCAGCCGCGGUAAUACGGAGGAUGCGAGCGUUAUCCGGAUUUAUUGGGUUUAAAGGGUGCGUAGGCGGGCAUUUAAGCCGGCGGUCAAAUGUCGGGGCUCAACCCCGGCCUGCCGUCGGAACUGGGUGCCUUGAGUGGGCGAGAAGUAUGCGGAAUGCGUGGUGUAGCGGUGAAAUGCAUAGAUAUCACGCAGAACCCCGAUUGCGAAGGCAGCAUACCGGCGCCCUACUGACGCUGAGGCACGAAAGCGUGGGUAUCGAACAGGAUUAGAUACCCUAGUA